UACAGAGGGUGCAAGCGUUGUUCGGAAUUAUUGGGCGUAAAGGGCGCGUAGGCGGUGCGGUAAGUCUGUAGUGAAAUCUCUGGGCUCAACUCAGAGUCUGCUGCAGAAACUGCCGUGCUUGAGUGUGGGAGAGGUGAGUGGAAUUCCCGGUGUAGCGGUGAAAUGCGUAGAUAUCAGGAGGAACACCGGUGGUGUAAACGGCUUUCUGGACCAUAACUGACGCUGAGGCACGAAAGCGUGGGUAGCAAACAGG
rnacentral:rRNA from 1 species